UCUUAUGUACAUGCCCAAAGUGUUAAUGCACCAGAUCCCAUAAGAACUCCGCAGUUAAGCACAAGAAAUACGUAUUCAAGCGCACUUGGGAUAGAGUAUUACUCGGAUGAGUGACCUAUUGGGAAGUCCUAGUGUUUUAUAUGCC
rfam:Picea glauca, whole genome shotgun sequence.